rnacentral:rRNA from 1 species
GACGAACGCUGGCGGCGUUCUUAACACAUGCAAGUCGAACGAAGUGGCGAACGGGUGAGUAACUCGUAAUCAACCUGCCCUUCAGCGGGGGACAACAGUUGGAAACGACUGCUAAUACCGCAUACUGAAGGCGGGGAUUGCGUCUGAUUAGCUAGCUGGAGGGGUAACGGCCCAACAAGGCGAAGAUCAGUAGCCGGUCUGAGAGGGGGAACGACCACAUUUGGAAUGGGGAACGGCCCAGAACCCUUCGGGAGGCAGCAUGGGGGAAUCUUCCGAAAUGGACGAAAGUCCGACGGAGCAACGCCGCGGGAGUGAUGACGGGCUUCGGGUUGUAAAGCUAUGUUAAUCGGGACGCGGUACCGGAAUAGAAAGCCACGGCUAACUACGUGCCAGCAGCCGCGGUAAUAC